CCAAUUCACCCAAAAAAAAAUCAUAUUCACAAUCUCUUCCAUCUCAUUAACUUUUCCUUCGCGACUUCACUCCCAAGCACCAUAACAAAUAACUUAUUAGCUUCUUCCAUGGAGUAUUACUCAACUCCUCCCUUCUGAAAGGCUUCACCUCAUCUCUCUUUCCAAUUUCACCACCCUUCUUCCCCACUUUGGCUACCACUGGCAACGAAGUAGAAACCCUAACGACAAUCUUCAUUCGCUUCUCGGCAGCCACCGCCACGAGCUCCCUUCUCCGCGUCUUAAAUUCCGGUGACUCAUCUGGCGACCCCGAAACGACGCCAAUGACUUCAUCUCUCGGCUUAUUGCGCUUUGGCUCCGGCGUCAUCCUCAUCCGAAUGGCCAUUUGCAAAUCCUCAUCUUCUUUCGAUCCGCCAUUCUCCGAAGAAUCAAAACCUUCAAUCCAAAAAAUCGAAAAAACCUUAAGGGGUUGAUUUUUAGGGUUCCAUUUCGAGACGAUUGAAAAUUUGAUGCUAUACAUACGAAAGACUUGCUAUAUCCAUCAAUCGCAUAUCAUAGAGCCCAUACGUAGUUUUUUUGGGAGUUGCUUUUUCAAAAUACUUGGUUCAUUUCUAUACAUAUCAAGCACCUAAUGACAUAAAGUAGCAUGUGGAGGCAUGUUUUGAUCCCAAAAAAUUUAUAUAUGUAUUAUAUAUAUAUAUAUAGGUAUGGGAUUUGAAUGGAAAUAAGGUCAUGUAGCUUCUGUUUAUUAUGUUUUACCUAGUCAGAAAGAACAUAUUCAGGUAAAAUUCUUCUAUCACCCUCUCUUUACAUUUGAAUUUUUAUUUUAUUUUAUUUUGAGGCAUUCUAGAAUCUGUUGUAAUGAAUGCUUGACUGAUAAGUUAUUGUGACAUCAAAUUCAUGCAAUUUUAUUUUUCAACUUCGGUGAUGGCAAAGUUAGAGCUUGGAUGUAUGAAAACCAAACAUUCCAUGUCGAAUACGACACUCCCAGAAAGCGUUCUACCAAAAUGCUAUAUAGUUCUGAUGGAACUAGGUACGAAAAUGAGGAAUUUUAGAAGAGAUGGAAAUGUAUCUAGUCAAGAUUAUAUAUACUUUUAUUUUUCAUUUUACGCCGAGUUGUUACUGCUAUUUUCCUAUUUUAGAUUGUUUUCUUGUGGAACAAGUAAAGAUGGAGAAUCUUUCCUAGUUGAGUGGGAUGAACCUAAAAGAGCAAUAAAAAGAACAUAUUCUAGAUUUGAAAAGAAAUAUGUCGGUAUGGUGCAAUUUGACUCUACAAAGAGUCGAUAUAUGGCUGCUGGUGAAGACAACCAGGUUAAAGAACUUUAAGGAUUUAGGAUUGUUCUGCAAUGUUGCUUGAUGAAAAUAAAGGUGGAGAAGAAAUUAGAGAAUCUGAGUGUCCUCUUUGUCAUAAAUUAUUUUGUGCAAGGUGUCAUGUUCCUUGGCAUCCUAGUGUUGGUUUUGAGGAGUUUCAGAAACUUAAUGUGGAUGAGAGAGGGAUUCAAGAUCUUCUUGUUAGAGAGCUUGUUAAUCAGAAAAAGUCGAAAAGGUGUCCCCAAUGCAAAUUCUAUGUUGAAAAAAUUGAAGGUUGUUUGCAUAUCACAUGUAGUGAUGCAGGCCAGUUCGCCGUCUUUUCAGGACAAGCUCUGUAAAGCCAUGGAGUCCAUUGAUAUUGAUCAUAAAAUCAAUAUUGAUCAUAAAAUCAAUCUAACUAAGCGCCUUAAGUAUUUUCACUGUGAUUGAGAUAAAAAAUUGAUAACCACAUUUUAGAAACCUCCCACCUUUUUUUGAACAAGAAACCCAACAAUCUUGGAAAACAAAAAAUUAGAUAUAAUUUGAUAGGGGAAAAAUUCUACCACCUACAUGAGAAAGUAUCAUGAUAUGAAAAAGUUCAACGUUGAUAUCAUUCGGUGUAGUCAUAGUAAUGCUUGGAACUACUAAGGAGCUAUUAUUUUGAGUGAAGAUAGUUUUUAUGUACUCUAUAUUCUCAUUCAUCUUUGUUUAAUUUUAGUUCUUGUUGGAGUGGCUAUGGAUAUUUUUUUCUUAUGCAUAUAAUAAUUAUAUUUUUGUUUUCUCUCCGAAUACUUUAAUCUUGUACCUAUUUCUUUUAACUGACAUUUGGUAAAAUGA